rnacentral:rRNA from 1 species
GAUGAACGCUGGCGGCGUGCUUAACACAUGCCAGUCGAACGAAGCACUUUAUUUGAUUUCCUUCGGGACUGAUUAUUUUGUGACUGAGUGGCGGACGGGUGAGUAACGCGUGGGUAACCUGCCUUGUACAGGGGGAUAACAGUUGGAAACGGCUGCUAAUACCGCAUAAGCGCACAGCAUCGCAUGAUGCAGUGUGAAAAACUCCGGUGGUAUAAGAUGGACCCGCGUUGGAUUAGCUAGUUGGUGAGGUAACGGCCCACCAAGGCGACGAUCCAUAGCCGACCUGAGAGGGUGACCGGCCACAUUGGGACUGAGACACGGCCCAAACUCCUACGGGAGGCAGCAGUGGGGAAUACUGCACAAUGGGCGAAAGCCUGAUGCAGCGACGCCGCGUGAGCGAAGAAGUAUUUCGGUAUGUAAAGCUCUAUCAGCAGGGAAGAUAAUGACGGUACCUGACUAAGAAGCACCGGCUAAAUACGUG